CCUACGGGAGGCAGCAGUGAGGAAUAUUGGUCAAUGGACGAGAGUCUGAACCAGCCAAGUAGCGUGAAGGAUGACUGCCCUAUGGGUUGUAAACUUCUUUUAUAUGGGAAUAAAAUGUUCCACGUGUGGGAUUUGGUAUGUACAAUAUGAAUAAGGAUCGGCUAACUCCGUGCCAGCAGCCGCGGUAAUACGGAGGAUCCGAGCGUUAUCCGGAUUUAUUGGGUUUACAGGGAGCGUAGGUGGCUUGUUAAGUCAGUUGUGAAAGUUUGCGGCUCAACCGUAAAAUUGCAGUUGCUACUGGCAGUCUUGAGUACAGUAGAGGUUGGCGGUAUUCGUGGUGUAGCCG
rnacentral:rRNA from 1 species